UAUAUCUAUAAAGAAAUAUUUACAUUUCUAAUAUCUGAUAAUCCUGUAUUUGUCAAUUUCAAUAACAAGUAUAUAGCCUUGCAUUGUAUCAUAAUAAAUCCUAUUCAAUUUCUUGAAAGAAUAUCUACUUACUUCGUACCGUAUCCGUUUUCAUCUAUUAUAUCUUUUCUCUUGCUUUUCUGUAAGUACUGACGAUUUUCUCAUCUUGGCAUAGUACAUUCUCUCAAAACAUUCAUGACAAACCAUUAAGACACGGCCAGUGUUUCCAGACAGUAAUAUUCAACCAAUAAAGUGAAUAGUGAAAAACUGGGUCUCUUUGAUUCUUCAUCGAUCCAUUAGCUGACAACAAGCCCGGUCUUUUCCGCCUCGUUCCCGCGAUUCCGGCUCACGAGUGCAGAAAAACGUUCGAUGCAUUCGCGGAUACUACGUCGAAAAGAACGGUAGAAUUGGUAGUACGGGGUCGGAGGGUGGGAGAAAAAGCGGAGAACGUCGAUUUAGGUGGAGGUGGGGAUAUUGCAAUCCUGACAAAGAAGGAAGGUAUUUCUAAAGGUUUCAAUGGUCGGUCGGGGAAAAAGGGAGAAAACGUUCGAUGGAGGGCGAAUCUCGCUACGGCCAGGAUAAUAGAUGCCCUACGCUUUUUCCAAAUCCCGGAAAAUAAUUAAGGACUUCGAUGCGAUAGGAAAAUAAUGGUGAGAGAUCGUUUAAAAACAUGUGUUUGAUGAAAAGGAGAAAAAUAAUGGAGAAAAAAGACCUAACCUAUCUAGCAUAUGUUCA